rnacentral:tRNA from 1 species
UAGCCGGCUUAGCUCAGUUGGUAGAGCACCACCUUGCCAAGGUGGGGGUCGCGGGUUCGAACCCCGUUUUCCGCUUAGCCA